CACACAGUACCUCCUCUUCUCUUCUAUUUUUAGGAAGAAGCUUUAACAAGUUUUAAAUGUCUCAAUUCUCAAAAACAAUAGGCUUUUUAAAAAAUAAGACUUGAUUACCAGAAACAAGUAAUAUGUGGUUACAUACCAUUUUCAUACCAUUACUCAUUUCAAUUUAUCUUUGAUGCAACCUGGGAACAAUUAAGCAGUCACUAGAUACCUGUUUUAGAAUCUGAAGAAAUUAUUAUCCACCACAGGAAUCUAAUGAUAUAUGUUUUUGCAUAUAGUUAAAAUUUCAAAAGGGAAAAAAGUAGCUAACUAUUCUCAUUACUUUGUACCAAAUAUUUAUAUACCUAGUCAAAACAAUAAAGAUCAAGAUCUUUCUCCAGAUGAACUGUAUAUAAAAGCUAUUUUUAGCAUUUUCUUCCAGGGAUUAAAAAAAAAAGUCUUAUUUCCCUGCUGGCUAAAAAGGAGGAAUUUAAAUUCCUUAAGAGAACUGCCAUAAAAUUUGUUUUUAAAAAUUUAUCUUAAAAAACUGAAAACCAUUUCUCUCUUUAAAAUCUAUGGCAUUAAUUACCUACUUGACUUUUUAUUUUUUGAAAGGGCACCAAGUUUGUGAUCUAAGCAUGC
rnacentral:lncRNA from 1 species